GCUGCACUUGAGCGUAACGAUUACUUUAUAUAUACAUAUAUGUAUGUAUCCUCGUCCCCGAGACGUCGAGAUCACCUGUAGAAUCGAAGUUGCAAUAUCUGCUGUCUCUGACAGAGAGACCGACGCCUUCGCGCAUGGCGGAUAGCAGCGAUCCAUAACCUGCCUUAAACCCAGACGAACAUAUCGUGUAUAUAUACUUGCAUAUGUAUGUGGGAUAUUUCAACUGCGUAGGCCGACCAGGCAAAUUACUACGAUUCAAGUCUGUCCAAAAGAACAGAGAGUGAGAGAGAGAGAGAGAGAGA